AGUGAACGCUGGCGGUAGGCCUAACACAUGCAAGUCGAACGGCAGCACAGUAAGAGCUUGCUCUUACGGGUGGCGAGUGGCGGACGGGUGAGGAAUACAUCGGAAUCUACUUUUUCGUGGGGGAUAACGUAGGGAAACUUACGCUAAUACCGCAUACGACCUACGGGUGAAAGCAGGGGAUCUUCGGACCUUGCGCGAUUGAAUGAGCCGAUGUCGGAUUAGCUAGUUGGCGGGGCAAAGGCCCACCAAGGCGACGAUCCGUAGCUGGUCUGAGAGGAUGAUCAGCCACACUGGAACUGAGACACGGUCCAGACUCCUACGGGGGGCAGCAGUGGGGAAUAUUGGACAAUGGGCGCAAGCCUGAUCCAGCCAUACCGCGUGGGUGAAGAAGGCCUUCGGGUUGUAAAGCCCUUUUGUUGGGAAAGAAAAGCAGCAGGUUAAUACCCCGCUGUUCUGACGGUACCCAAAGAAUAAGCACCGGCUAACUUCGUG
rnacentral:rRNA from 1 species